rnacentral:rRNA from 1 species
GCGCGGAAAAUUUAACGGGGCUAAGAUACAAACCGAAGCUUAGGCUGCAUCGUAAGAUGCGGGGUAGGGGAGCGUUGUGUAAGCGGAGAAACAGUAGCGUAAGCGGCUGUGGAGUUUACAGAAGUGAGAAUGCCGGAAUGAGUAGCGCGAAUGUGGUGAGAAUCCACAUGGCCGGAAACCUCAGGUUUUUGGAGGAAGGUUCGUCCGCUCCAAGUUAGGCGGGAGCUAAGGUGAGGCCGAAAGGCGUAGCCGAUGCACAGACGGUAGAGAUUCCGUCACCACCAAAAGAGUUAAGCACAGGGACACAUUUGAAGUCUCAGAGCCGGGUGUUGGUUCCGGUAGAGAUCGAGGGAAGUUAGUACCGAAGUCUGGGAUGGAAGAUGGCGAGAAAAGCUGUGUGGAUUUCUGAGGUGCCCGUACCGCAAACCGACACAGGUAGGUAGGAAGAAGAUUCUAAGGCCAACGGGAGAAGGGUUGUUAAGGAACUCGGCAAGUUGACCCCGUAACUUCGGAAUAAGGGGUGCUCAUGAAAGUGAGCCGCAGAGAAUAGGCCCAGGCAACUGUUUACCAAAAACACAGGUUUGUGCUAAAUCGAAAGAUGACGUAUACGAGCUGACGCCUGCCCGGUGCUGGAAGGUUAAAAGGAGAUGUGCAAGCAUUGAAUUGAAGCCCCAGUGAACGGCGGCCGUAACUAUAACGGUCCUAAGGUAGCGAAAUUCCUUGUCAGGUAAGUUCUGACCCGCAUGAAAGGCGUAAUGAUCUGGGCACUGUCUCAACAGCCCGCCCGGCGAAAUUGUAGUACCGGUGAAGAUGCCGGUUACCCGCGACAAGACGGAAAGACCCCAUGGAGCUUUACUGUAGCCUAAUAUUGGGUUUCGAUGUUGCAUGCACAGGAUAGAUGGGACACAGGGAAACAAGUGCUUUGGCAUUUGUGGAGUGGCCGUUGGGAUACCAUCCUUGCGAUAUUGGAAUUCUAACCUGCGCCUUUGAAUCAAGGCGGGGGACAUUGUUAGGUGGGCAGUUUGACUGGGGCGGUCGCCUCCUAAAGAGUAACGGAGGCGUUCAAAGGUUCGCUCAGCUUGAACGGAAAUCAAGCAAAAGAGUGCAAACGCAGAAGCGAGCCUAACUGCGAGACUGACGGGUCGAGCAGUAACGAAAGUUGGAGUUAGUGAUCCGGUGGUAUGUGAGUGGAAAUGCCAUCGCUCAACGGAUAAAAGCUACCCUGGGGAUAACAGGCUGAUCUCCCCCAAGAGUCCACAUCGACGGGGAGGUUUGGCACCUCGAUGUCGGCUCAUCGCAUCCUGGGGCUGUAUUCGGUCCCAAGGGUUUGGCUGUUCGCCAAUUAAAGCGGUACGCGAGCUGGGUUCAGAACGUCGUGAGACAGUUCGGUCCCUAUCUGUCGUGGGCGCAGGAUAUUUGAUGGGAGCUGUCCCUAGUACGAGAGGACCGGGACGGACGUACCUCUGGCGCACCAGUUGUUCCGCCAGGAGCAUAGCUGGGCAACUACGUACGGAUCGGAUAAACGCUGAAAGCAUCUAAGCGUGAAGCCGACCCAAAGAUAAGAUAUCCCACUGAUUCAAUCAGGUAAGAUCCCUUGAAGACUACAAGGUUGAUAGGCACGAUGUGUAAGUGGAGUGAUCCAUUCAGCAAGCGUGUACUAAUAGGUCGAGGGCUUGACCA